GCUGGGCGUGGUAGCGCAUGCCUGUAAUCCCAGCUACUUGGGAGGCUGAGGCAGGAGAAUUGCUUGAAUCCGGGAGGCAGAGGUUGCAGUGAGUGGAGGUUGCAGUGAGCCGAGAUCCAGCCACUGCACUUCAGCCUGGGCAACAGAGUGAGACUCUGUCUCAA
ensembl:misc_RNA Metazoa_SRP Metazoan signal recognition particle RNA